AAUAUCACGUCGCUGCUUAAAAUUCACAAACAUUAAUUUAUUGCACAUUUAUUGGAAAGCCUGAAUUUAUCAGAAGUCCGAAUGUGCGAAUAUAAAACCAACUUUACCGAAGUCGCGGGGAGCGGGAGAGACGCUCGAGUCGAGGCUGAGGGGAUCCUCGCGUUACAAUUGAGUUUAGGUUUUUAAAGUAAUGUUUGUCAUUUCUUUUAUUUGUCUUUGUCACGUUAGCUCUGAUUUAUUCAUCUAUUUGUUCGACCAAUAUGACGAAGAAAGUCUGUGAAUUAAGACAUACAUUAAGGCUUACUUUAUUUGCCUAGCGCGAGGUGUUUUUUAAUCAUUAUUUUUUUAGUAGAAUGAAAUGGUAGAGUAUACAACUAAUUAAUUACUUGCACUGCAGCAAACAAGUUUUUUUCCAUUUAUAAACACUGAUUCCCCCCAUAGGAUCUGAAGCUCUUCAAUGUUUGACGACUAAGGACACUUUGCGAUAACUUUACAUGUGACAGUAGCCAUUGACUUUAAAUUAAUCACAGAAGAUCACAGUUCCAGCUAAAAAUCUUUAUACUGUUCGACUGAAGAAAGAAGUCACCUUGGAUGGCCUGAUGGAUAACCAGACAGAUGAUUGAGGAGCAGCUCACCAUGGCGAUGUUCAUUAUUUGGAAGGAGAGGGAGAACUUCAUGAACCAUCUGCUGACAUUGAGGGAGUUAAAGUUUUGAAUCAACUUGCUUCAGUUACAUCAGCUUGUGCCCUGCUUCUAGGCCUACAGUUGGAAGCAGCUAUUCUGCUCUUGCCUGCACUGUUCAAGGUGGACCUGGGGUUGCUGUUUGACAUUGAGGCCCGUCCUGUCAUCCCAACACCUCAGAUAAAGGCUGCAAAGAGGAUCAUCCCAUGCAUGUAUGACCACAUUGGGUUCACAAUGGAUGGCCAGUUAAUCACAGUGGAGAGCGAGGACAUCUUGAUGGCAUUGGGCCUCCUUCUGUGUGUAUAUUUUGCGUUUGGAAUCGAAUCGAAUCCAGUAAAAGAAAAAGACACUGACCUUUUUGAAGUGUUGUUUUGAAAUUGAAGGAUGCAUUCGGACUUCCUGUUACUGUAAAAUGAGUGUACAACUCAAUCUGUGAGUAGACUUUCGGAGUCAAUAUUCUCUCUUGCUCCCUUUCGUACAGUUUUAGUUCCAGUUUCUAUAUUGUUUUUGAAAUCCUGAAGGACUUACAAAAAUGUUAGUGCGCUGUUGACAGUGAAAGAUACUGCAGGACUUCAGAGCAUAACUCAGUAUGCAAAAACAGGACUAUUGUCUUCAAAAAUUUACAUGUUUCAAGCUUGUUGGAUUAUUUUGUAUGUGUAUAAAAGGGGAGUAUAAUGUGAUGUUGUUGACUUGUCAGCACUGAGUUUAUUUGCUGCUGAAAGAAAUAAAUUAAAAGGUUUUGAAAGUGUAAUGUAUUUUCUCAGUAAGCAUUUAGUACAUGAUUUUGAAUCUUUAAAGUCAUGAUUUGGUAAGAAAUGAUUAAUUAUCAUUCAUAAAAGUGUCAUUUAGAAGCAUAUUGACUCAUCUAUAGUAAUAUCUGGCAUGAUAAUGGGCCCUGCUAGCUCAAAAAACAACAAUAUAUGGCACCUCUAAUUUGACAAAUGUGCUAAAAAAGCUUUAAGAAUAGCUGCUAUAUAGCACCAAAAAAGGUUCCCUUAUGAUAACGAGCCAAAGAACCACUGCUGGUGCUAUAUGGCACCUCUUAUGGUUCUACAUAGCACCAUACAACAAAGGUGCCAUAUUAGCACCUUUAAAGAUAGGUGCUAUAUAGCACCAAAAAGGGUUCCGCUAUGAUUACGAGCCAAAGAACCAAUUUUGGUACUAUUUAGCACCAUUUUUGUUUAGAGUGCACCAACGUUAAGGUACAUUUUCACCACCUGCUGUAUUGGAGUGUGGACCAGAGUUUACCCAAUCCAUAAUUGAGAAAAAACGAGUUCCGACAUCGACUAAUAAAUAAUAAUGUUUCCUACAUUUUAAGAACAUGUAACAAAAUUUCUGUGAUUUGUAAAAAACAAAGCUUUUAAACAAUAAAAAAGCUAAGUACGGGAAUUUGGUAAUGUACGUUUCAUUUUAUUAUGGUAGGGUGAAAUGCCC